rnacentral:misc_RNA from 1 species
AUUACGCCCACCCCCCAUUUCGCCUCUUUCUUCCGCCCUCCCGUACGACCCCCAUGUCUGAAAUCCGUCGGAAGCUCGUCAUCGUCGGCGAUGGUGCCUGCGGAAAGACCUGUCUCUUGAUCGUCUUCUCCAAGGGAACGUUCCCAGAGGUGUACGUCCCAACCGUGUUCGAGAACUACGUCGCAGAUGUCGAGGUCGAUGGCAAACACGUCGAGCUAGCCCUUUGGGAUACCGCCGGCCAGGAAGACUAUGACCGUCUCCGGCCCCUCAGCUACCCCGACUCCCACGUCAUCCUCAUCUGCUUUGCCGUAGACUCCCCUGAUUCGCUUGACAACGUACAGGAGAAGUGGAUUUCCGAGGUUAUGCACUUCUGCGCCGGGCUCCCUAUCAUCCUUGUCGGCUGCAAGAAGGAUCUCCGGCGCGACCCCCGUGUGAUUGAGGAGCUCCGGAAGACAAACCAGAGGCCAGUUACCCCCGAGGAGGGCAUGGCGGUUGCGCAGAAGAUUGGUGCGAGGCACUACCUCGAGUGCUCAGCCAAGUCGGGUGAGGGCGUCCGUGAGGUGUUCCAGUACGCGACCCGGGCGGCUCUCCUCUCCCGGCCGAGGGGCUCGAAGAAGAACCACUGCAUCGUGCUCUGAGCAUGCAUCCAGCUCAUUGUACCCGGCCGGCAAGCCAGGUGGCCCCAGGAUCACGCUGAGGG